AAGCUGACCUUCCGACCUGACUCUUUGUCCUUAACCCUCACCAUUCUUAAUUUUGACCUAAUUAUCAUCUCCAAAAAUUCACUUGCAGUGAGCACAGGUCAUCCUCUGAAGCUUCUACAAGCUUCGUCAAUGGCGACAAGUCUCAAAUUAGGGUUUUGAAAUAUCCGUUAAGGACUCCCAAUCUUCGUCUUUCUCUUAUCAGUAGACAAUUGGGCCAUAGCAUCUCUGGUUUUGCUCUUGAAAUUAGGGUUUUGAUGAGUGGCUGAGAAGUCCUGGCUUUCUGAAUCAGCCAUGGAUGGGGCACAGAGUAGUAGUAAGGAUAACAGUGGUGGUAGUGGGGGUGGGCCUGCUCCUUUCCUGAUAAAGACCUAUGAGAUGGUGGAUGAUAGUAAAACAGAUGAUGUUGUUUCAUGGAGUUCGUCGACUACUAGCUUUGUGGUGUGGAACCCCCCUGAAUUUGCCCGCCUUCUCCUUCCUACUUAUUUCAAGCACAACAAUUUCUCCAGCUUCAUCAGGCAGCUUAAUACAUACGGCUUCCGUAAGAUUGACCCAGAGCGAUGGGAAUUUGCUAAUGAGGAUUUUGUAAAGGAUCAGAAGCAUAUGCUCAAAAAUAUACACCGACGUAAACCUAUACACAGUCACAGUCUACCACAACAGCAGGGGACAAGCUACUUUGGUGAUACAGAAAGAGCAGCUCUUGAAGAAGAGAUCGAAAACCUCACCGGAGAGAAAAAUGCCUUUCUAAUUAACUUGAACAAAUUCAUUCAGCAGCAGGAUGGAACAAAGGCACUGCUGGAAAUGUUGGAGCAACGUGUUCGUGAAAUGGAGCAGAGGCAAGAAAGGAUGAUUUCCUUCGUGCAUAGGGCCAUCAGCAACCCUUCUUUUGUAGACCAGCUUGUUCGGCAUGUCCAAUUAAACACACAAUUCCCACUCAUGAAUAAGAAGAGGAGAUUGCCUAAAGUGGAUUUUUUGCAAGAGGUUGUAGAGAACAACUUUGUGGACAAUCAGAUCAUUCAUAGUGCUUCUGAAAUAAACACUUUGAAACCCAUGUUGGGGUUUGCACAAAACGUCAGCAAAGGCUUUGCAAAUAAGCUGAAAUUGGAAUUAUCUCCUGCUGCCUCAGAUAAUCUGCUUUCUGGUAGUGGGCAUAGCUCUUACGAAGAUGGGGACAGUCCACAAGUGAGAACCUCUAGAGAAGCUCCAAAAGAGGUCGGGAUGAGAGCAAAAGGUUUUUUAUUUGUGUCUGACGGAUUAGAGCUUUCAGAUACUGGUACUUCUCUUGGGUCAGAAAAGGUUAAUACUCAGUUUCCCUGUGAAACUGUUAUUCCUCCAGAGCCACAUGGUGUGCGACAGUGUUCCACAUCAACUGAAGAAGGAGAUGGUAACAUCUCGUGCCAUCUGAAUCUGACUCUCUCUUCUUCCCCAUUGCCAGUCAACAGAAGUGAUACUUCAACAAGAAUUGCACCAUCUCAUGUUAGUCAAGAGAAGGAUGCUUCAGCUGAGAUUAGAAGCAGUUCUAGAGAGGAUCAUUUCAAAGUGCUUGAUAGAAGUCCGGCUGGCAAUAAUAAGAUGCCUUCAUCAAGAGAAUUGGCAAAUAAAGUUCAAGCACCCCAAGCUACCGUAGGCAGAGUAAAUGAUGUGUUUUGGGAGCAAUUCCUAACAGAAAGGCCUGGUUCUUCAGAUGCUGAAGAGGCAAGCUCUAGUUUUAGGGGACAUCUUAGUGAGGAGAGGGACGACAGAACAUCGGCUUUCAGUAAGUCUUGGAAUAGUAAGCAAAACAUGGAGCAGCUGACACUCUGAAGCACUUGGCAUGUCAAAUAUAUACGAGUAACACCUGCCUCAGCAUACUAUGUAACAUUGCAAAGAAAGAGAGGCUUUCUGUACAAGCUGACUGAGGAAGGAUCUUGUAAAAAGAAGUACAAUUUGGCCGGUAUUAGAGGGGAUGUAGCCCCAUGUACCCAAGUUCCUGCAAAUAUUAGGAAGGAGAUGUUGGACCAUCUACAAGGGGUAAAAAACAAGAAGAAAUUGAUAAAGGAAAAAACUUGAAGAUGUCACUAGCUCAGUUGAUAUUGAGGAGAGAGAGAGAGGAAGAUGAAUUAGCUUAAGAAGGGGCUCUAUCAAUAGGUCAUUGGAGAUUUGGCAGAGACCUAAAGCAAGGGGGACUUAUGGAAUUCUUACUUCCCAUCUCUUGAUCCUGAGCUUGCGAUUUAAGAAAAGGAGCAGACAAUUAUAAACCACAUAGAAAGAAGAGGUCAAUAUGUUGCAACAUGGAUCUAUCAAGGUGAAAUCUCUUUCAAUGCCGCUAGUUUGAAGAGCUUCUUGAUAAUGAUGGAAGUGGUAGGGCAAUAUGGUCUAGGAUCACACUAUCAACUCAGAGAUCCCUUGCUUAAAAGAGCAGUGCAUUUCACUAAUGAAUAUUUCAAGGCUCAUAGGGACGUAUGAGCUAGAUAUGGUGUUACUAUAAUGAUUGGCGGUAGUAUUGCCAAGCCCCAUGAUGAGGUCUAUGACUCCGUUCUCACCAAAGGGUAGGGGCCCAAAAAUCCUCACGGACUUACCACCUUUUUUUUUUCGAGAAUGGCUUGGGGUCUUGGCGAUAGUAUUGUCGAGCCCUAUGAUGAAGUCUGUGACUCCAUUCUCACCAAAGGGUAGGGGCCCAAAAAUCCCCAUUGACUUACCACUUUAUGAGAAUGGCAUGGGGCCUUGGUGGUAGUAUUGUCGAGCCCCAUGGUGAGGUGUCUGACUCCAUUCUCACCAAAGGGUAGGGGCCCAAAUCUCCACUGACUUACCACUUUACUUACCAAAAAAAAAAAGACAUAGGAGCAUUAUGAACUUGUUGGUAAAUUGUCGAAUGGGGACAUUUUUCUUAACAAGCAAGAUACGUGAUGUGGAUUUCAUACUCAGUAUAGUAGAAAAAUGCAUUGAGGAGAUGGGAGAGUGUCAUGUAGUUUAGGUGGUUAUGGACGUGGCUGCAGCCAAUAUGGCGACUGGUAGAAUGUUUGAGGCCAAUAAGUCACACAUCCUUUGGACACCAUGCGCAGCUCAUUGCAUCGAUGUCAUGCUUGAGACAAUAAGCAAGAAGAAAGCCAUGGCCUCAACUAUAAAGAAUGCAAGAGCCAUCAUGAUAUUCAUUUACAACCAGACCUAUUUAUUGCCCAUGAUGAGGAAUUUCACUUAUAAGAAUGACUUGGUGAGGCCUGGAGUUACUAGAUUUGCCACCUCUUAUUUGUGUUUGCCUUCUGUAAUGGAGCAAAAACGCAAGUUCAGGGAGAUGUUUGUAUCUCAAGAAUGCGCUCAAUGCAAGUGGGCCAAUACAAGUACUGGGAAGAUGGUGGCUUGUUUGGUUUUGACACCAACCUUCUGGAAUGGAGUUACUCGUGCCCUCGCAGCCUUUGAAUCUUUGGUUAAGGUUUUGCGCCUUGUUGACAGUGAGAAGAAGCCAGCUAUGGGUCAUAUUUACCAAGCACUGGAGGUUGCAAAGGAGGAGAUUAAGACUAAUUUUGAUUAUAAUGAAAAGCAUUAUUCACAUAUUGUGAAGAUAAUAGAAGACAAAUGGGACUAGUGGACUCCAACCUAAAAUUUUUUGGGUCCCUUCUCGUGCAUAUCGCCCUGUAAAUCUCACUGUGUAUGGACUCUUUUAUAAGCCUUAUCUUUGGCAUUUGCUUGUAAAAUUUUGUGAGGGGGUAAUCUUAUAACCCAAAUUUUUGUA